CAGGACAAAAGAUAAAUGGUUUAAUUUAGAAUCUCCCAUAAUUUUUUUUUUCAUUUAGACGUUUUAUGCUGCAUUGUUCCAACUAAUUAAGUUAAGCUCACAUGACUCUCAAUCUUCCUUUUUUUUCUCUAGAUUUUCACUUCAAUAACAAAAUGUGAAAUUCCUUGCAAAAGAUAAAUAAAUAAUUCGUGGAAUGUUUAUUAUAUUUUUUAAUCGAUGAGACUUACUCUAUCCUUUAAUAAUUUGGGAUAUUUACCCUACAAAAAACCACAUAAGUUGAUUUGCAUGUGGUAACUACACAAUUAACACUACUAGAAAAAUGAAACUUAGAGACGGAAGAAAUAUGUCGCUAAUUAGUCAAAUUUCCGUCACAAACACGUUUAAUGACGGAUUUAAUGACGACCCAAAAUUUGUAACCAAUUUCAAUGUCGCAAAUUAUUAGUGAGGAAAUUUAUCAUACGUCAUAAAUUGUGACGGAAUAAUUCAUCACAACGGAAAUAUAUGUCACUAAUGAGAGACCAAAAAUACAUUUAUUCUUAGAAUUCCCUCUCUAAUUUAUGAGAAAUUUCAAAUUCCCUAACUAAAAUUUGUGACAGAUUUGAAAUUACCUCAAAAUUUUGAUGUAAUUCAAAUUCCACUAAUUUGUGACAUAUUUUAAAUUCCCUUACAAAUUAUAUGAUGUAAUUCUAUAUUUUUUAGAUGCAAUAUUUAAUUCCGUCACAAUUAGUGAGGAAUUUUAUUCGCUCUCUAAUUUCCGUCAUUAAAUCAAUUUUUUAAAAUCUAUUUCUAUGUCGUUUAGCUCACCAACCGAACUACUUAUUAUACUACUGUAGAUGCUCUUAUGCUCUUAUUAAAAUGAAGAGAAAAUUACAAAUGAAGCAUUUGGAUCCUAACAUUGAACACAGAAAGACUUAGAAAUGGAGAAAGAAAUAAAAAACCAAACAUCUCACUGAUUAGUAAUUCCAUAUCCAACACAAGGUCACAUAAAUCCAAUGCUUCAAUUCUCAAAACGUUUACUCCAAAAAGGAAUAAAAGUAACACUAGUAAACACCAUUUCCACUUCCAAAACCAUCGCAACCAUAAACCUCAAUAACUCCAUUAAUUUCGAAAUCAUCUCAGAUGGUUUCGACGAAGGAGGACUUACCGCCUCAAAGACGAUCGAAACACACAAGGGAACCUUUCGUGGAAUCGGAUAAAAAACUCGAGAACGACUUCUUGACAAGUUAACAUCAUCAAACAACCCUGCAGAUUGUGUUAUUCAUGAUGCUUUUUUACCUUGGGUUGUUGAUGUCGCAAAGAAAUAUGAACUACCUAUAGCUGUUUUCUUAACUCAAGCAUGUUCUGUUAAUAACAUAAAUUUUCAUGUUUUAAAGGGAUGGUUAGAGUUUCCUUUGUUGGAGAGACAGAUUUUGUUGCCUGGAUUACCUAUGCUUGAUGCUUCUGAUUUGCCAUCUUAAUUUUUUGUAUAAAAUGGAACUCAUUGCGGAACGCCAAACACAAACACCACCUAAUAGAGGUCCAUCUCCUACUCCCAAAAACGGAAAUCACGCCACCAGAAGACACCAACCCAGCCCCAAAAGUUGCCACCAGAUCGACUCUAACUCCCAAUCUCGAAUAAAAAAUGAUCGGUCCAUCAGAAUCUUAAAAACAACUCCUUCAGACUAAAAAUUGAUGAGACCACAGUAGAAUGAGAACCUAGGCAGACAAGUCCCAGUUCGAAGACUCCCUACAAACGAGACGAUGACAGAGCCAACAAACACGGCAGCAACCGGCAUAACAGUCUCAGCUCGAAGACCACCUCAAAAUAGUGAACACCGACACAGAAGAGGUCAACCAGACACACAAGAACCCUGCAAAUCUCAACAGAUUUGGAAAACGGUCAGAGAAAGGACGAAAACAAAGAAGAAAACAACCGGCGCCUGAGAAGAAGGACACUGCGCCGAUCUGAACACGGUGGUGCGGAGGGAUAACAC